rnacentral:lncRNA from 1 species
ACCGUAAUCUCUUUUGCAUGCUUCGGUUCCAAAUUCACACCCGGAGGAGAGAGCCGGCUGUCAGGAGCAAGGGCGCGCUGUCCCCGCUUGGCGGCCCAGCCGGGCAGCCCUGCCAUCCAAGGCUUUCUCCUGCUUCACACUUUGUCAAAAUGCAUCACAAGCCACACAAAGAAAUGGCCACUGGAAACUCCCCGAUUUCCAAUCCUCUUACUUUCCAAUUGUUCUUCCUUUUCAAGGCUUGGCCAUCCUCAGAAGGGGCCCCGUGCGGGCCGUCCUGGCUGCUUUCAUUUUCAAGCAGGAAGCUCCACACCAGAGAGGCGGGGCCGCUGUCCUCACCGGCCCGGGCUCUGGGAUCCACGGUGGCUCUGGGAUCUACGCCCAGCCUGGGCGGACUCUGAGCUGCCGUUUUGCUGUUACGCGGGUGGCCAGUCCGAUCCCGCCCCGUCAAGCUGGAUCCGACCGAGGAGAGCAUGCCCCAGAGCCCUCUGCGUGCUUCCACUGCUCGGCCCCCGGCGGGCACGGGAGGGGCACGUCCUCCAGCCACCCUGGCCCUCACACCCUCCUCAGCAAAGGGCCUUCGCACACACUGGCCCCGUCCCUGAACGCCCUCUGCCUAGAUCUCUCCGUGGCCACCUCCCGCUUGUCCGACUGGGGGCGAGCCCAGCCAUGUCAGCCCCCAAAGAACACAAGCGGUCCCGCCGGCACCGCUCAUCCCCCGAGGGCCCCCGGCACUGGCGCCCACGCUGCCCGGCUGCAGGUGCUGGUGCAGCCCUGGGCCACACACACAACCUGGCCCGCAGCCUGGGGAGGGCUCAGUGCCCAUGCAGUCCCUUGUUUGGCAUCACACCUUUGCCAGCCCUGCCCAUGCAGUCCCUUGUUUGGCAUCACACCUUUGCCAGCUCCUUCCCUUCCCCACCCACCUCCCCGUUCCUUGCUGCUUCUCAGACUGUCUGGGGGAGAGCCUGCACCCCAUCGUCUCCCCCGGCGGCCUUGUCUAGUUGCUCCUCAGCUCUCCUCUCCCAGCGUUUCUUCUGUGUAUCCAACUGCUGGCUCAUUUGUAUCAACGUUUCUUCUGUGUAUGGAACUGCUGGUUCAUUUGUAUCGACUGGCUCCUCUACCCAGAAAGCAGAGGCUCCACAAAGGGAGACAGUCCUGUGUGUGUCCCCACCGGGCGGAGCUGGCACUCCCAAACCUGUGUCCCCACUGACCAACACGCAAUGA